UGGGGGCGGUCGCCUCCUAAAGAGUAACGGAGGCGCCCAAAGGUUCCCUCAGAAUGGUUGGAAAUCAUUCGCAGAGUGUAAAGGCACAAGGGAGCUUGACUGUGAGACCUACAAGUCGAACAGGGACGAAAGUCGGGCUUAGUGAUCCGGUGGUUCCGCAUGGAAGGGCCAUCGCUCAACGGAUAAAAGCUACCCCGGGGAUAACAGGCUUAUCUCCCCCAAGAGUCCACAUCGACGGGGAGGUUUGGCACCUCGAUGUCGGCUCAUCGCAUCCUGGGGCUGUAGUCGGUCCCAAGGGUUGGGCUGUUCGCCCAUUAAAGCGGUACGCGAGCUGGGUUCAGAACGUCGUGAGACAGUUCGGUCCCUAUCCGUCGCGGGCGCAGGAAAUUUGAGAGGAGCUGUCCUUAGUACGAGAGGACCGGGAUGGACACACCGCUGGUGUACCAGUUGUUCCGCCAGGAGCAUCGCUGGGUAGCUAUGUGUGGAAGGGAUAAACGCUGAAAGCAUCUAAGCGUGAAGCCCCCCUCGAGAUGAGAUUUCCCAUCACUUUAUGUGAGUAAGACCCCUGAGAGACGAUCAGGUUGAUAGGUUCGGAGUGGAAGUGCAGCGAUGUACGGAGCGGACGAAUACUAAUAGGUCGAGGACUUAACCUU
rfam:Brochothrix campestris FSL F6-1037 c33, whole genome shotgun sequence.